UCCUGCUUAGCUCAGUUGGUAGAGCAGGUGGCUGUUAACCACCGGGUCGCAGGUUCGAGUCCUGCAGCAGGAG
rnacentral:tRNA from 1 species